rnacentral:misc_RNA from 1 species
GCAAAUGAUGCGUUUGUCGGGUUGUUAUUUGAGUUGAUGUUGGUGAGUGGUUUUCCCGAUCAACUCAGAGGUGCUGCUGCUGGUUGCAUCCACGCUGUUGCUGCUAAGCGCAUGGAUCCGAAAGCAAAACUCACUCUUUUGCAGAGCCUUCAAAUUAGAAAGGUUUUUGGUUUGGUGGCAGAGGAUAAUGACUCUGAGUUGGUCUCAAGUGUUUCUUCUUUGCUUACUGGAUAUUCAACUGAGGUUUUGGAGUGUUCAAAGCGUUUGAACUCCGAG